rnacentral:lncRNA from 1 species
UUUAAGCUACUGUUGGAACAAUAAAGAUUUUUAGUAAUUUGGAUAUUUAUCCCACGUAAACGCUCAACCUAACGAAAACAGAAUAUACUUUGGGCAGAUGCACAGGUGCUGAUAUACAGCGGGCAGCAUAACAGGUAGAGGUUCAGACUUUACCAUCAAUUUCAGGACGAUGGUGCUUUACAUAUGGUUUAAAAAAAAAAAAAAACCUUAUUCAGGACAAGGUUGGUAUAACA